CAGCGCUCCAGCGAUCUGGCUGCAACAUCUGUCACCCCAUUGAUCACCAGGGUUGAUUCGGCUGAUCUAGCUGGCUAGGCGGGUGUCCCCUUCCUCCCUCACUACUUCAUGUGCCACCCUCCCGAAGCUGCGUGCUGGGUCGAAGAGGCCCGCCUUCCCCGAAUAGAGACGGACUGGUCUUUGGUCGAGGGUAUAUGAGUAGCUGUGUUCACUCCCCUGCUAGAACCUCCCAAAUGAGCUCUCAAGGUCAAAACUAUUUUUUAAAAAUUU
rnacentral:sRNA from 1 species